CCACCUCUAGCUGUCAAUACGUCAGUCAAGCCACAAUCACCAGCCAUCACGGACCUCACUCCUCCUUCUCCCUUUUACCCUCCUUCAGUGAUAUCCUUGGUUUGGCUUGGGAAGAGAGGAAGAAAGAAAAGAGAGAAAGAAAGAGAAGAGAGAGAAAAAGAGAGAGGAGAGAGAAAGAGAGGGGAAUAAAAAUAGAGACAAGGAAGGGAGAGGAAAAAGAGAGAGAAAGGAAGAAAGAAAGAGAGAAA
rnacentral:lncRNA from 1 species